UUGAGCUUUAUAUAAUUGUUUAGGUGUGGUAUGAACAUGAAGUUCAGCCAGUCACCGCAUGGUGGCGGGUGAACAUACACAAAAGGUAUCGAAGUAUAUAGCCGCCAUACCAAAGAACUUUACCGCCUUCGCAUGGGCGCGGACAUGUUCCGAAUUAAACCGCCAAAUCGGUACAAUAGACCGAGGUUUCGUGGUUUGAAACCAUUUCACACUCGUCCACUUCGCAAAAGAAUCGGCUGGAGAACAGAAGUUCGCUAAAAGUUUCCUCAAGUGAUUUCAAGUGAUGGUGUUUGAAUUAAAAUAAGUUCAAGAUUUAAAUUUUCGGUGUUACUAAAACACUUCUAAAGUGAAUUCUGUUCUGGUGUUUCGGAAAGAUUUGAGUACAAAGCAGCGCUCGUCCAACGAGCGUUUUGUACGGGCUGGAUUUUGCUGGUAUUUUGUGCUCGUGUGCCGCGCUAAGGCCCGCCGUCUCGGUAGUCAAACGGAGUUGGUGGUUUCCGUUAUCACGUUUGCGAAGUUGUCCGAGAGCCAACAAUCCGAAGUAGCAGUUCAUUUCAUCGUGGGGGAUCGGUACGGAAUCUUAGUACGUGAGGUCCUUCCAGGGUACGUUGUCUGUUGCGGAGGUUUCUGCUCUCGUCGACCAAACCGGAAGUCUUCCGUCCAGCCGAACCACACUCCGCACCUUUAAUUCGGCCAGACGCACACGAGCCGCCGUAGUCGACCACACUUCGUCGACUUUGAGUCAGUGCAGUGGAUCCACAUCCGUGCGGCGGCGACCAUCGCUAAUUCGUCGUCAUCGUUCCCGCCACAAAAAACCUGCGCAGGUAUGUUCGUUAAGUUUUCAUGGCCAUGUUGACAUUUUGCCCGCCCUCGUAUAAACUAUUGUCCGAUCCGAACGUUUUGAAUUAGCUAAAGUGGUAUGAAAAUACAAGUUUAAAUUUACGUUUUUUUGAGUUUCCGUUACGUUAUGAACAGAAUCCUUUAAGGAACUCACUCUUGUUUCCGUUUCGUUUUCUCCACUUUGGUUUUCCGAAAUUUUGUUCUCGAUUCGACGGUUUUCAGGUUGUGGAAGAGUGUGAAAUUUAAAUUGCGAAUUUAGUCGAUGGCGAAGGUAACACGGUGAACAUAAGACAGUUGGUUCUGAUAUUUUGGUGUAGCUAAAGUGGACCGUUCGAGCGAAUACCCUGAGGAACGAUUUCAUGCUUUAGUAGCAUAGUCGGGCAAGCUAACACGACUGGUGGUCUCUCGUUAACCGCGAGAGUGGCGCAUAAACCACCGAGUUUGAGAUUCCUCUAAU